rnacentral:rRNA from 1 species
CGUAGGGUGCGAGCGUUAAUCGGAAUUACUGGGCGUAAAGCGUGCGCAGGCGGUUAUGUAAGACAGAUGUGAAAUCCCCGGGCUCAACCUGGGACCUGCAUUUGUGACUGCAUAGCUAGAGUACGGUAGAGGGGGAUGGAAUUCCGCGUGUAGCAGUGAAAUGCGUAGAUAUGCGGAGGAACACCGAUGGCGAAGGCAAUCCCCUGGACCUGUACUGACGCUCAUGCACGAAAGCGUGGGGAGCAAACAGGAUUAGAUACCCUGGUAGUCCACGCCCUAAACGACGUCAACUGGUUGUUGGGUCUUCACUGACUCAGUAACGAAGCUAACGCGUGAAGUUGACCGCCUGGGGAGUACGGCCGCAAGGUUG